GGGGAAACCCACAGAAACAUCUGACCUGAGCAAGUGGGAGCUCAUGGACCCCAGUCUGACAUCUGGAGUACCAGCAUAGGACAGAAGCAGACCCCCUGUAUGUGGGUGUCAUUAGGAGGCCUGGAAAGUCUAUGGGGCCUCUAGCAGUGGAACAGUAUUUAUAUCUAGUGUACAAAUGGACUUUGGGAGACCAUUUCCCAUGGAGGGCUACUCUCUCAGCAUAGAUAUACAGGGGAGUGCCUAGGCCCUGCCCCAAAUCAUGUGACAGACUUUGAUGAUCGCCAUGGAAGUCCUCAACCUCCCUGGGGAGUGUAUGGAGGAUGGGAUGUGAGGGCUGGUGGGAGGCAUGGGAUGGAGAGGGAACUGGGAUUAAUAUAUAAAAUACAAUUGUUUCCAAUUUAAAUAAAAAUUUGCAUAUAUUUAAAAAGGAAGACCCUGUACAACAGUGGUUCUCAGCCUGUGGGUCAUGACCCCUUUGUGGUGAAUGAAUGACCCUUUCUCAGUGGUCACCUAAGACCAUUGGAUAACACAAAUAUUUACAUUACAAUUCAUAACAGCAGCAAAAUUACAGCUAUGAAGUAGCACCAAAAACAAUUUUAGGGUUGGGGGUCACCACAAAUUGAGGAACUGUAUUGAAGGGUCACAGCAUUAGGACAAUUGAGAAUCACUGCAGUAGAAGUUAACUGGGUAUUAUUAAAAUAUAAAUUUAAGCAGUCACAGGAGGUAAGUUUAACAAUUGUCCAAGCAUUCAUAAGUCCAUCUAUAUCUGAAAUAAGCUUCAAACUAUUUCUGAAGUUUCUAGAACAUAACAGUUAACCCUGCAAAAGUUUGCCAAGCCCAUUUGGGUUGACUCUUGGGAAAAAGACAAUGGUAUGUUCAUGAUCCUUGUUUUUUAACAGAAAACCUGUGCUGGAUACAAUAUUAUGACCCUUACUGCAAUUCAGAAUACCAAUUAUCCAUUAUCCACCCAUGGGUCAGAGGAGAAAGUCACUGUUUACAUUAAAUGCUUGCAAAGACUUAAGACCUGAUCAACAAGGGAAAUCUUACCCGGUGCUGGAAACCUAGGCAGCUACCAAGGGCUAAUGAAGUCAUGGAUCUUGGAGGAGAAUCUACAGCCAGCUCUUUGCUAAACCAGCGUAAUCCCUACCAGCCAUCAGUAUAUUUGUCCACAUAAACACAGAUAACUGCGGUCCUCACCGUGCACCAACACAACUUCUCUUUGCAACAAACAGAGCCUAUACUCUUAACCAUAAUAUUAUGUAAACUUCUACAUUAAAAAGUGUUCAGUUACAAACUUUCUUAGAAAAUUUUGAGUCCUUUUUGUCCUAUGGUAGAAGGACAACAGUGUUGUAUUUACAGACUACCUAAGACAGAGCAUGCACACUGUGCUGUCAGCUCUUUUGAAACAAUGACUUGAGGACUCAGUUAUCAGUGGUAAGAACACACUGUCAGGUGUCAGUCAAAUUUUACAUUUUCUCUGAGAAACACAUCAGAUCCAGCUAGUCCAGUAUUUAGAGUCUUAAAACACAAAUUGUACCCUGUACUCCCCACUCAGAACCACUUGAGGAUAGAAGUCUCUUUUCAAUGGCAUCAUAGAGGAACUUUUCAUCCAGACUUUAUCAGAGAGAACACUGUAGCUUUGGCGUGGAUUAUGUAGUCACAUUAGAAAAUGGAUUAAACUGCAGGCAAAUGUGAAACUGCUAUUCUGUCCUCCAGGCUGUACUGUGGAGAAUGAGAUUUGUCUGUUUUUGCACUCUUGUGGACUUACACGGUGUGAUUUAAUUGGAGGUCAACAUAUGGCUGAACUGGCGAUUACAAACUGUGUUAGCAAAUUAAAACUGAACGAACAUGAAUGUCAUUUCUCACCUGCACGGUCCUUGUAAGACAUAGGACACAUUUUCACCAGCCCUCAUCCAGCAGCUGGUGGAAUUAGAAGCAGAUACCCACAACUAAUAACCCAACUG